CUAAACAGGGUGCCUCCGUUAACUCUGGAGUUGCUCGGAAAGCUAAGAAUAAUUCACGAACGAUGAGACAGAUUGCAGUUUGUGUCAAACCCAAGUAAUCUCUUCCUUCUCUCACUCUCUAUUUCUCUCUCAGUUCCUCUACCAAUCUUCACUUAACAUUUCAUUUCUCAGGGUAAUUCUGUGGUUGGAAAAAUUUGAGGUGGUUAAAGUUGUGGCAUUUUUGGAAGAUUGAAUUUGAUGGAAGUGGAUGGAGGAAGAGUGGUAGAAGUGUCUACGGGCGAUCUAUCUGUUCCACGACAUACCAGAAAACAUAAAGCUUUCUAUCAGUUUACUCAGCAGAACCUCCCUGCUUGUAAACCUGUUCUCACACCAGCAUGGGUGAUUACUACAUUUUUGUUGAUGGGUGUCAUAUUCAUACCUCUUGGGCUUAUUACUCUUCAUGCCUCUGAUAAUGUUGUUGAAAUUGUGGACCGGUAUGAUAGUGAAUGUGUGCCAGAAGCAUUCAGAAGCAAUAAGGUUGCAUACAUCAAAGAUGAUUCAAUUCCCAAAAACUGUUCUCGAUACUUGAAGGUCGACAAACAUAUGAAAGCUCCAAUAAAUAUCUACUAUCAACUUGAUAACUACUAUCAGAACCACAGACGGUAUGUCAAAAGUAAAAAUGAUCAACAGCUUUUGCAUGGAUUGGGAUACAAUAACACGAGCUCCUGUGAACCUGAGGAAUUCAAUAAUGGUCGUCCAAUUGUUCCUUGUGGUUUGAUAGCAUGGAGUUUGUUCAAUGAUACAUAUACUCUUAUCCGUGGAAGAUCAGAGCUAAAGGUCAACAGGAAGAACAUAGCAUGGAAGAGUGACCGUGAUCACAAGUUUGGCAAGAGUGUAUAUCCCUUCAAUUUUCAGAAUGGGACCCUGAAGGGUGGUGGAAAUCUAGACCCAAAAAUCCCUCUGAGCAAUCAAGAAGAUCUUAUUGUAUGGAUGCGGACAGCUGCACUCCCCAGUUUCCGUAAGUUGUAUGGUAGAAUUGAAGAGGAUUUGAAUGCCGAUGAUGUUGUAGUAGUCAAUGUAACGAACAACUACAAUACUUAUAGUUUUGGUGGGAAAAAGAAGCUCAUUCUUACAACAACAGGCUGGUUAGGAGGAAAGAACAAUUUCCUCGGGCUUUCUUGCACAUCUGUUGGUUCAGCUUCCAUAUUCAUCUCUAUUGUCUUCUUGCUGCUCCACAUGAAAAAUCCCAGGAUUCUAUAAUCGCUCCAAAUCUGUUACCUUCUCAACUUUGCCGUGCUGUUGGCUGUCAGACCCAUGCGGGGAACAACUUAUUUGUACAUAUUGGAAGUUCAAAAUAAUAUCUAGUUGAAUAGGCGGUGGUACUAUGUGCGUAGUUUCGUAUGAGUGGACAAACGAAGUUAUGUAACCUCCAGAUAGAAAUUGCACAUUAACUGUAAAGGAGAUCAUGAAAAGAGUGAAAGGAAAUCAUGUUUUUGUGAAAGAUGAAGAAGAAAAACAAUAUCCAAGCGGCCAAGCCCCAAUGUAGUUAGGUACGUGUUAUGCUAGCAUUCUUUGGUCAUUAAUGACUGAUUUUUCUCUGUAUACUUGUGAAUAUAUAUAUCGUGCAAAGUUAUUUUAGUUGACAAGUUCUUAGUCAAGUGAGCUGA